CUUGGUGGUAAGCUACAGAGGUACACCUAGUUACAUACCGAACCUAGAAGUUAAGCCUGUAAACGCCUACAAUACUCAGUAAUGGGGAAGAUUGGUAACUGCCAAGU
rfam:Sneathia amnii strain SN35, complete genome.